rnacentral:rRNA from 1 species
AAUGAACGCUGGCGGCAGGCUUAACACAUGCAAGUCGAACGGCAGUCUUCGGACUGUAGUGGCGCACGGGUGAGUAACGCGUAACUGACCUACCCCAAAGUCGCGGAUAACGAUUCGAAAGAAUCGCUAAUACGUGAUGUGCUGUCAGAUUGUGUUCUGCCAGUAAAGAUUGAUUGCUUUGGGAUGGGGUUGCGUUCCAUCAGCUAGUUGGUGGGGUAAAGGCCCACCAAGGCGACGACGGAUAGCCGGCCUGAGAGGGUGGCCGGCCACAGGGGCACUGAGACACGGGUCCCACUCCUACGGGAGGCAGCAGUUAGGAAUCUUCCACAAUGGGCGAAAGCCUGAUGGAGCGACGCCGCGUGAGGGAUGAAGGUCUUCGGAUCGUAAACCUCUGAAUCAGGGACGAAAGACACUUCGGUGGGAUGACGGUACCUGAGUAAUAGCACCGGCUAACUCCGUGCCAGCCGCCGCCGUAAUAC